rnacentral:rRNA from 1 species
GAUGAACGCUGGCGGCGUGCCUAAUACAUGCAAGUCGAGCGAACAGACGAGGAGCUUGCUCCUCUGACGUUAGCGGCGGACGGGUGAGUAACACGUGGAUAACCUACCUAUAAGACUGGGAUAACUUCGGGAAACCGGAGCUAAUACCGGAUAAUAUAUUGAACCGCAUGGUUCAAUAGUGAAAGACGGUUUUGCUGUCACUUAUAGAUGGAUCCGCGCCGCAUUAGCUAGUUGGUAAGGUAACGGCUUACCAAGGCAACGAUGCGUAGCCGACCUGAGAGGGUGAUCGGCCACACUGGAACUUAGCCACGGUCCAGACUCCUACGGGAGGCAGCAGUCGGGAAUCUUCCGCAAUGGGCGAAAGCCUGACGGAGCAACGCCGCGUGAGUGAUGAAGGUCUUCGGAUCGUAAAACUCUGUUAUUAGGGAAGAACAAAUGUGUAAGUAACUAUGCACGUCUUGACGGUACCUAAUCAGAAAGCCACGGCUAACUACGUG